rnacentral:rRNA from 1 species
CUACGGGGGGCUCCAGUGGGGAAUAUUGGACAAUGGGCGCAAGCCUGAUCCAGCAAUGCCGCGUGAGUGAAGACGGCCUUAGGGUUGUAAAACUCUUUCGCUAGGGAAGAUAAUGACUGUACCUAGUAAAGAAGUCCCGGCUAACUCCGUGCCAGCAGCCGCGGUAAUACGGAGGGGACUAGCGUUGUUCGGAAUUACUGGGCGUAAAGAGUUCGUAGGCGGACUGACAAGUUAGAGAUGAAAUCCCAGGGCUCCACCCUGGAACUGCCUUUAAAACUGUCAGUCUAGAGACCGGAAGAGGUUAGGGGAAUACCUAGUGUAGAGGUGAAAUUCGUGGAUAUUAGGUGGAACACCAGUGGCGAAGGCGCCUAACUGGUCCGGUACUGACGCUGAGGAACGAAAGCGUGGGGAGCAAACAGGAUUAGAUACCCUAGUAGUC